rnacentral:misc_RNA from 1 species
AACGCACCUUGCGCCUUUUGGUAUUCCGAAAGGCAUGCCUGUUUGAGUGUCAUGAAAUCUCAAUCCCCUCGGGUUUUUCCUGUAGGGUGCAUUGGACUUGGGCGCCUGCCAUCUGUCGUGGCUCGCCUUGAAUGUGUUAGCUGGGAACCAGUGCCGUAGCUCGACGUGAUACGUUUCGUCUGGCGAGGUGCAGGGUCCCGCUGCCAAUCGUCUCCUCGUGGGACAACAACCUUUUGCAAAGACCUCAAAUCAGGUAGGACUACCCGCUGAACUUAA